rnacentral:rRNA from 1 species
UACAGAGGUCUCGAGCGUUAGGCGGAAUCACUGGGCUUAAAGCGUGUGUAGGCGGCGGGCUAAGUACCUUGUGAAAUCCCACGGCUUAACUGCGGAACUGCUGGGUAUACUGGUUCGCUUGAGCGGUCUAGGGGCGAGCGGAACAAAUGGUGGAGCGGUGAAAUGCGUAGAUAUCAUUUGGAACGCCAACGGUGAAAACAGCUCGCUGGGGACCUGCUGACGCUGAGACACGAAAGCCAGGGGAGCGAACGGG